UGAGUAAUGCCUAGGAAUCUGCCUGGUAGUGGGGGAUAACGUUCGGAAACGGACGCUAAUACCGCAUACGUCCUACGGGAGAAAGCAGGGGACCUUCGGGCCUUGCGCUAUCAGAUGACCCUAGGUCGGAUUAGCUAGUUGGUGAGGUAAUGGCUCACCAAGGCGACGAUCCGUAACUGGUCUGAGAGGAUGAUCAGUCACACUGGAACUGAGAAACGGUCCAGACUCCUACGGGAGGCAGCAGUGGGGAAUAUUGGACAAUGGGCGAAAGCCUGAUCCAGCCAUGCCGCGUGUGUGAAGAAGGUCUUCGGAUUGUAAAGCACUUUAAGUUGGGAGGAAGGGUUGUAGAUUAAUACUCUGCAAUUUUGACGUUACCGACAGAAUAAGCACCGGCUAACUCUGUGCCAGCAGCCGCGGUAAUACAGAGGGUGCAAGCGUUAAUCGGAAUUACUGGGCGUAAAGCGCGCGUAGGUGGUUUGUUAAGUUGGAUGUGAAAUCCCCGGGCUCAACCUGGGAACUGCAUUCAAAACUGACUGACUAGAGUAUGGUAGAGGGUGGUGGAAUUUCCUGUGUAGCGGUGAAAUGCGUAGAUAUAGGAAGGAACACCAGUGGCGAAGGCGACCACCUGGACUAAUACUGACACUGAGGUGCGAAGCGUGG
rnacentral:rRNA from 1 species